GGCUGGUCCGAGUGCAGUGGUGUUUACAACUAAUUGAUCACAACCAGUUACAGAUUUCUUUGUUCCUUCUCCACUCCCACUGUUUCACUUGACUAGCCUUAA
ensembl:misc_RNA Y_RNA Y RNA